UACGAAGGGGGCUAGCGUUGCUCGGAAUCACUGGGCGUAAAGCGCACGUAGGCGGAUUGUUAAGUCAGGGGUGAAAUCCUGGAGCUCAACUCCAGAACUGCCUUUGAUACUGGCGAUCUCGAGUCCGGGAGAGGUGAGUGGAACUGCGAGUGUAGCGGUGAAAUGCGUAGAUAUCUGGAGGAACACCGGUGGCGAAGGCGGCAUCCUGGACCGAUAUUGACGCUGAUGCGCGAAAGCCAGGGGAGCAAACGGG
rnacentral:rRNA from 1 species